AGCGUGCCUGAGUGAUCUGGUGUCCUAUGCUCUGAUCCCUGCUGCUGGGUGCUGUGGGAUGCAAUCAGCCGAACGCCAAAGUUUCAACAUGAAUUCAGUGACCUAUGAUGAUGUGUGUGUGAACUUCACUCUUGAAGAAUGGACUUUACUGGAUCCUUCACAGAAGAUUCUCUACAGAGAUGUGAUGCUGGAGACCUACAGGAAUCUCAUGUCUAUAGGCUACAAUUGUGAAGAUGACAAUAUAGAAGAAUAUUUUCAAAGUUCUAGAAGACAUGGAAGG